UAAAAAAGGGUGUUUCGCUUAUCUUUGUGGAGAGGGCCCCGCGGGUUUUUUAGUUUGGUGGGGAAGAAAAGCCUCCCACAAGGCUAUGUAAUCGUCCCCCACCGGAGGAGGUUAUUCGCCCCACUUGGGGAUUGAACCCCCGCCCCAAUUUCCUAGGGGGAGCCGCCAGUAGGGAUUUCUCCCACAAGGGGACGCAAGUUUGGAGGGAGCAACCCCCGCGUGAAUGAAGAAGGGUUUCGGCUCGUAAAGCUCUGUUGUUAAAGAAGAACGUGGGUAAGAGUAACUGUUUACCCAGUGACGGUAUUUAACCAGAAAGCCACGGCUAACUACGUGCCAGCAGCCGCGGUAAUACGUAGGUGGCAAGCGUUAUCCGGAUUUAUUGGGCGUAAAGCGAGCGCAGGCGGUCUUUUAAGUCUAAUGUGAAAGCCUUCGGCUCAACCGAAGAAGUGCAUUGGAAACUGGGAGACUUGAGUGCAGAAGAGGACAGUGGAACUCCAUGUGUAGCGGUGAAAUGCGUAGAUAUAUGGAAGAACACCAGUGGCGAAGGCGGCUGUCUGGUCUGCAACUGACGCUGAGGCUCGAAAGCAUGGGUAGCGAACAGGAUUAGAUACCCUGGUAGUCCAUGCCGUAAACGAUGAUUACUAAGUGUUGGAGGGUUUCCGCCCUUCAGUGCUGCAGCUAACGCAUUAAGUAAUCCGCCUGGGGAGUACGACCGCAAGGUUGAAACUCAAAAGAAUUGACGGGGGCCCGCACAAGCGGUGGAGCAUGUGGUUUAAUUCGAAGCUACGCGAAGAACCUUACCAGGUCUUGACAUCUUCUGACAGUCUAAGAGAUUAGAGGUUCCCUUCGGGGACAGAAUGACAGGUGGUGCAUGGUUGUCGUCAGCUCGUGUCGUGAGAUGUUGGGUUAAGUCCCGCAACGAGCGCAACCCUUAUUACUAGUUGCCAGCAUUAAGUUGGGCACUCUAGUGAGACUGCCGGUGACAAACCGGAGGAAGGUGGGGACGACGUCAAAUCAUCAUGCCCCUUAUGACCUGGGCUACACACGUGCUACAAUGGAUGGUACAACGAGUCGCGAGACCGCGAGGUUAAGCUAAUCUCUUAAAACCAUUCUCAGUUCGGACUGUAGGCUGCAACUCGCCUACACGAAGUCGGAAUCGCUAGUAAUCGCGGAUCAGCAUGCCGCGGUGAAUACGUUCCCGGGCCUUGUACACACCGCCCGUCACACCAUGAGAGUUUGUAACACCCAAAGCCGGUGGGGUAACCUUUAGGAGCUAGCCGUCUAAGUGACAGAGAUUGGG
rnacentral:rRNA from 1 species